rnacentral:tRNA from 1 species
GGAGAGGUGGCAGAGUGGUCGAAUGCACCGGUUUCGAAAACCGGCAGGGUCGAAAGAUCCUCGGGAGUUCGAAUCUCCCCCUCUCCG